UUUGUACUCCCUCCGUCCCAAAAUUCUUGUCUUAAAUUUGUCUAAAUACGAAUGUAUCUAGUUACAUUUUAGUGUUAGAUACAUCUAAACAAUUGUAAGACAAGAAUUUUGGGACGGAGGGAAUACUAC
rfam:Triticum aestivum genome assembly, contig: Triticum_aestivum_CS42_TGACv1_scaffold_501998_6BL